rnacentral:rRNA from 1 species
GACGAACGCUGGCGGCGUGCUUAACACAUGCAAGUCGAACGGAAAGGCCCUGCUUUUGUGGGGUGCUCGAGUGGCGAACGGGUGAGUAACACGUGAGUAACCUGCCCUUGACUUUGGGAUAACUUCAGGAAACUGGGGCUAAUACCGGAUAGGAGCUCCUGCUGCAUGGUGGGGGUUGGAAAGUUUCGGCGGUUGGGGAUGGACUCGCGGCUUAUCAGCUUGUUGGUGGGGUAGUGGCUGACCAAGGCUUUGACGGGUAGCCGGCCUGAGAGGGUGACCGGCCACCUUGGGCCUGAGAUACGGCCCAGACUCCUACGGGAGGCAGCAGUGGGGAGUAUUGCACAAUGGGCCGACGCCUGAUGCAGCAACGCCGCGUGCGGAAUGACGGCCUUCGGGUUGUAAACCGCUUUCGCCUGUGACGAAGCGUGAGUGACGGUAAUGGGUAAAGAAGCACCGGCUAACUACGUG